rnacentral:rRNA from 1 species
UACGUAGGGUCCGAGCGUUGUCCGGAAUUAUUGGACGUAAAGGGCUCGUAGGCGGUUCGUCACGUCGGGAGUGAAAACUCGGGGCUUAACCCCGGGCCUGCAGUGGGUACGGGCAGACUAGAGUGCGGUAGGGGAGACUGGAAUUCCUGGUGUGAGCGGUGAAAUGACGCAGAUAUCGAGGAGGAACACCGGUGGCGAAGGCGGGUCUCUGGGCCGUAACUGACGCUGAGGAGCGAAAGCGUGGGAGCGAACAGG